AGCGAACGCUGGCGGCAGGCCUAACACAUGCAAGUCGAACGAACCCUUCUGGGUUAGUGGCGGACGGGGGAGUAACACGUGGGAACGUGCCUUUAGGUUCGGAAUAACUCAGGGAAACUUGAGCUAAUACCGUAUGUGCCCUUCGGGGGAAAGAUUUAUCGCCAUUGGAGCGGCCCGCGUCUGAUUAGCUAGUUGGUGGUGUAAUGGACCACCAAGGCGACGAUCAGUAGCUGGUCUGAGAGGAUGAUCAGCCACAUUGGGACUGAGACACGGCCCAAACUCCUACGGGAGGCAGCAGUGGGGAAUCUUGCGCAAUGGGCGAAAGCCUGACGCAGCCAUGCCGCGUGAAUGAUGAAGGUCUUAGGAUUGUAAAAUUCUUUCACCAGGGACGAUAAUGACGGUACCCGGAGAAGAAGCCCCGGCUAACUUCGUGCCAGCAGCCGCAGUAAAAC
rnacentral:rRNA from 1 species